GUAAUGGCUCACCAAGGCUAUGACGCCUAUCUGGUCUGAGAGGAUGAUCAGACACACUGGAACUGAGACACGGUCCAGACUCCUACGGGAGGCAGCAGUGGGGAAUAUUACACAAUGGAGGAAACUCUGAUGUAGCAACGCCGCGUGGAGGAUGACACACUUCGGUGCGUAAACUCCUUUUAUGUGAGAAGAUAAUGACGGUAUCACAUGAAUAAGCACCGGCUAACUCCGUGCCAGCAGCCGCGGUAAUACGGAGGGUGCAAGCGUUACUCGGAAUCACUGGGCGUAAAGCGCGCGCAGGCGGCUUUGUAAGUUGGAUGUGAAAUCCUAUGGCUCAACCAUAGAACUGCAUCCAAAACUACUUAGCUAGAGUCUGGGAGGGGAAGACGGAAUUAGUGGUGUAGGGGUAAAAUCCGUAGAGAUCACUAGGAAUACCAAAAGCGAAGGCGAUCUUCUGGAACAGUACUGACGCUGAGGCGCGAAAGCGUGGGGAGCAAACAGGAUUAGAUACCCUGGUAGUCCACGCCCUAAACGAUGAAUGUUAGUCGUCGGGAGGCUUGUCCUUUCGGUGAUGCAGCUAACGCAUUAAACAUUCCGCCUGGGGAGUACGGUCGCAAGAUUAAAACUCAAAGGAAUAGACGGGGACCCGCACAAGUGGUGGAGCAUGUGGUUUAAUUCGAAGAUACGCGAAGAACCUUACCUGGCCUUGACAUUGAUAGAAUCUGCUAGAGAUAGCGGAGUGCCCUUCGGGGAGCUUGAAAACAGGUGCUGCACGGCUGUCGUCAGCUCGUGUCGUGAGAUGUUGGGUUAAGUCCCGCAACGAGCGCAACCCUCGUCACUAGUUACUAACGGUUCGGCCGAGGACUCUAGUGAGACUGCCUUCGCAAGGAGGAGGAAGGUGAGGACGACGUCAAGUCAUCAUGGCCCUUACGGCCAGGGCGACACACGUGCUACAAUGGGAUGUACAAUGAGACGCAAUACCGCGAGGUGGAGCAAAUCUAUAAAGCAUCUCUCAGUUCGGAUUGUAGUCUGCAACUCGACUGCAUGAAGCUGGAAUCACUAGUAAUCGUAGAUCAGCCAUGCUACGGUGAAUACGUUCCCGGGUCUUGUACUCACCGCCCGUCACACCAUGGGAGUUGAUUUCACCCGAA
rnacentral:rRNA from 1 species